ensembl:lncRNA
CAUCUGCAAAAAUCCCUGCAGAGUAGCCUUAAAUUAGUGUGUGACUGGGUAAUUGGAAGGAGGUGCCUAUUCGCCAGGGGAUGGAACACGUGGAGGCCAUCUUAGAAUUCCACACUCACCAAUCAGCUGAGGUGAAAGCUUUGCUUGUCUGCCUCUGCCUGACCUCCUAAUGUCCUCCCCUACGUCAUGAGUGGUGUAGACAGAGGAGGUCACAAACCUGCAUCUGACAUUAACAGCGCUGCUCCCUGAAGAGGGAGGGAAGACACAGCCUUGACUUUAUCCCUCAAUGUGUGCCUUCCCGCCGGGUAAGGGAAGAACCUUCAUAAGAGGCAGUGGGCAUUGCCUCCAGAGCACAGAGUUCAAGGUUCCAGUGUCUAAGUCUGCGUCCCAGCUCUGCCCCUCACCAGACCUCGCCAUCUCAGGUACGUUACUUUUAAUCCUCAGUUUCCCCCCUUGAGAACCAAGGAUAAUGCUAACUCGUUGUCAGCACCUGUAUAGGUGCUCAGUGCCAAAUAGUGGUCACCUUCAUGAAGAGGAGCACUGUACAAAAACCAGGUGACCCCAAUGGGGAAGCAGCUCGUGAAUAAGACAGGCCCAGCAGGGCGUCACAACAGUCCACGGUGCAUAGGCGUCUUCCUCAAAGAAGAACUCCCUCAAAGGAAUCUUCGUUACAUUCAGGACAGUGUAAGGCCCUUCAGAAACUUAACAUUCCCUGCAGAUCACUGAAUAUUGCGAGAAGUCAUAUUAUUUUAGGAUAUAACUGAGUUUGCGAAGGAAUAUUUGUGAUGGAGAACUCGGGUAUUUAGGAGGAAACUUUUGUUUUUUUCCUAUUUCUGAGGUUAAUGCUUUAAAAAAAAAAAAAUCAUUGCCUGAUGAGCUCAUGCAAAUUCAGCCAUCUGUAUGGCUAUUGAAAGUUUUUAGACAAACUGCUAUGCUUUUGUCAUAUCAAUCCUUGCAAGAUACAGGACUGCGAUAACACUUCAAGUUACCAGGGAGCUUCGUUGUUUACAAAAAAGAGGAAAAAUCAAUCUUGAAUCUUUUAGUCCAGAGACCAAAGAAUCACUCCAUUGAUUUUUGGUUCAGCUGCUCAGAGGGAGGCAAAGACUUGACUAAACAGUGUCCCUGAGCCCCAGGCUGGGGGGAGAUGGAUGGAUCCGUGUUCUUAGAGGAGCAGGUCAACAAGAACAGGGUAGCACAGAAACAUGCAGAAGAUCAGAUCACAAAUUGGAUCCCCAAACCUCACUGGUGUUCUAGAUUUUUGUCAUGGAUUUACUCACAGACUCUGUGGAGGGGUCACAUGGCCCAUGACGACAGCAAAACACCCUUAAACCCAACUUCACCCAGCUUCCGCUCCCGUGGUCCAAGUCUUUAGCAACUGCUCCGGGAUCUUUCCUUUCACCUCUGGCUGGCUGCCUUUCUUCAUCCACUACCUCCUCUUUCAUCUUGUCUCCAUGAAGACGAGAUGAAGACAGUUUGGCCAAUCAAGGACUCUGACACAUGUCUCUUACUGUCUCCUGGGUCAGUUCCAGAAAGGAUCUUAGUGAUAAGAAACCACCACGUUUUAGGAAUGGGGAUGGGGGAGAAAGGUUGUCAAUACUUCAAUAGGUUUUGUUCCUGACACAUAAUAUCUAUGUGUACCUCUCGCCACGGUGUCCAUUUUAAAAAUGGGGUCUUAUACCUAAUGUCUUCUGAUUGGCUUAUUUCACUUGAUAACACAUCACAGAUCUUCAGCAGUAUUUAUAAGCCAACCUCAUUGUUUUUAACAACUGUCUCUAUUCUACCAUAUGAACGUGCCAUAACUAAUUUAACCCUUUCUAUACAAAAUGUUUCUUUUCUCUUUUUCUUCACUCUUGCAAAUAAUCUGCAGUGAAAAUCUUCUGUACUUUUCGUUUCUUUGCACACUUAGAAGUUUAUUUGCUGGGUCGAAAAGGAUGUGCGUUUUGACAGCAGAUUAUGGGAGGGGCGAUUGUGAACAUAGCAUGGGAUCUGUCCUGAAUAUUUUUCUUCCUGACCAACCUCCCCACUGGAUUCACAUUGAAUACAGCUUUCAUUUAUAGCUUAGGGGCAGUAAGUAAAAACUGGAAGAGCUAUUUCUCUAAAAAAAAAAAAAAAAAAACUUGGUAAAAUAUUGUGUGCGGCACAAAUAUGACUGCCUUGGGAAUGACAGCUCAAGAGAGGAAUGAGGUAUUUCCCUGUACUGUUCUAUAUAAACCAUUGGCAGCUUUGGUCCACUGGGGGUCCGAGGCCUGGUGGUACUGAGGGAGCUGUGCAGACACAGCGCCACCCAGUGGCUGUCUGGAGAGGAUGGAUUUGUUUGCAGGCACUGGUGCAAAAUCCCUGGGAACUCCUGGAAACGGGUGAGGGACAUUUUACUGGAGGCUGAAGUCCUGCAUGAACAGCAGGGAGAUUAGAGCAAGUGACAUUUGGGUUAUUGUUAAGGUGACUCCAUGUGUAGCCAUAGGCUGGUGCCUGGGGCAACUCAGGUUACUGUUGCUUUUGAGUGAAUUUGCAUUUUAUGUCUCAUACUGUGUCUGCAUAUAUUAGAACAAGAUAGCGGCAAUAUACAGGGAGCAAGUCAAUCUCUGGGCAGUGCUUAUCUGACUUCAGGGACCUCUGCCGUAGCUCUGUGGUCCAUAAGUUGGGAACCACUGAGAUGGGAUAUUGAAAAGCCGAGUGCAAAUGAAAUCAUUAACUCAAUGUCAAGGGGAGCAUGCUCUUUCAAGGAAUCCCGGGGUGGAUUCUCACCAAAGGAACACUCUGUUACUCCUUCUCAAGGUCCUAAAAUGACUCCCUGAUGUAACAAAUCAACUUACCUGCAGUUGUUACCCCUCCCUCCGUUACAAGUCCCUGCCCUGGGAUGCGCCCUGUUUCCCAAGCUCUGAGCAGGCAGGUGCUCUCAUGGCCAUUAGCAAGCAGAUGUUUAUUUCUACUUCUAAAUCUUUGCCUCUGUUUUCCCAUCUCUCUGAAGUGCCAUCUCCGCCCCUUUAGUAAUUUAAAGACUUCCACUCUUCAUGCCCUUCUGAGUCCACUGCUCCAAGUCCUCUGGGCCAACUUGGGCCUGAAGGGACUCUUCCUUUUGUAAGCUACUGAAGCUUGUGUUCUUGGUGUUGUAAAUUUGAUGUGGUCUCCGUUUUGGGCAUGUCACUUGUCUUCUCAGCUAGACGGAAUUCUGACAUCAGUGAGGCUUAAUGUCUUCAUACCUCCUUGAAGGAAGAUGUUAGACACAAAAUAGCAUAUUUAUGUAACUCCCUGCAUGAUGAAAAAAAUUAGAGCCAAAUGGUUUUUUUUCGGAAACCUAGAUCUUCGUAUGUUGGAUCUGCUUUAAGUCGACUUAAAAACUUUCAUUCACUUAUCCAUUCAUCUAGUUAUUUGUACAUAUAAUAUACGAAGUGCCGAAUACGUGUCAGAUGUCAGGCACGUCCUUAUUCAGCAGAGAGUGGAGAAAACACCUUGGUUUUCCGGAACUGUGACAAAUGGGCAGCCCAUGCUCUAUGGAUGGACCCUCGCGACUUGCCACCUUGGCUCUGAAGAUGCCUGUUUCCCCCGUUGUGGUGGUGACCAGCUUAUCCUCUAUGUUCUCACCUGCACCCUAUAGACCUGCGCUGAAUGCUCACAUGAGGCUGGAUGUGGGUCUUGGGUCUAGGAGCAUAGUCUUCCACUUAGAAUGGAGUUGUUCCUGGGAAAAGCAUGGUCUCCUAUGCGGAAAAUCAAGCCGGUUGCUCAUAAAAAUGGAGCUGCUCUUCCUGGAUCAAGGAUUGAGAAGCCAGACCACCUGGAUCACGUGUCCCUAUGCUCCUGGGCCUGGUGCACUGCUCAGGAAACAUGUUGAGUGAGCGAUGGUCAUAUUCUAUUGGAUUCAGCUCUGCUUCCUCUCAUUCUGCGCUGUGUUGACUUUUUCUAUGUGACCUAUGUUUUGCUGGCCUGUGGGUUAAGAGUAGUUAUUGCUCACAGGCCAGUGGGCAACUGUUAAGUGGUAGAAGUUCAGGAGAUCUAAUACCUUGGGGGGAUUUGUACCAAUUACUUAACUGCCCGAAUACCAAGUUCCUGCAUGUGAGCUUUAUAAUAAGAUGAGCCAGGUCUCACAUUUAUCCCAAGAAGACAGGACUUAUCCAAAUCAUCUAUAUUUUAGCAGGCAGUACCAAACUUCAGGCCUCAGAAACACAUUUUAAAUAAUUCUUGCCAUGCCAUAUAUUUUAAGUAUCAUUAAAAAGCCAUUUUCUUUAAAAAAUAUGUGUGCAAUAUAUUUUAUGAAACCUAGAACAAGUCUAUGAAAAAUUGAUUAUUUUUUCCACAGGGAUGUGUUCAGAUGAUUUUCAUUCUGCUCACCAAAUGAAAAAUCCAGCGUGUGUUAUGUCCUUUAUCUUAUUUACUCUCUCUCCUGAGAAUAAUCACCAUGUUCCCAAACAAAGAGAUGGGUUGCCCGGUUUGAGUAACCAAAUAAUUUCCUGUGGUGGGCAAAGGAGUUGCUGCAGAUCUAAACUAGGAAGCGUGCAUUUCCCUUUCAAAUGCCGGAUUUUCCUGCUCUGUGCCUCCCUUCAGUCAGCUCCAGGCUGCUUCCCUGAUGCUAACUUAAGAUCCAGCUAUUACACUGGGAUGAAAAUGGAGAGCUUUGCUCAGCCUCUGAACACACGUUAACAGCACAGGAGGUCCUAGGAUCCUCACAAAUAAGAAUCGUCACAAAAGAAUGAGCCCCGUUUGUUUUUCCAUGUGAAUCAGCAUUUCCAGAGGAUUCCAACAUUUGAAAUGCCAACUGAGGUUAAAAGCAAUGGAGCGCUCUCCUGAUGAAUCCCUGCCUCUGCUCCAGGGUGAAAACAUGAUGGUGUCCAUUGGAUCUCUGCCUUUCUGGCUCUGAGUCAUUCAGUGUUUAUAACCGGAAGAGCAACAGUGGUUCAAAAGCCUGCACACCUCGAGGGUUGGGUCCACUGGAAUUUGUAGAAGACCAGUGCCCCAAUUCCAAUGCCUAAGUGCAUGGAAUUCCAUUGCCUAAGGCACUGUAUUCUGCACUGAUGAAGUGAUGGGAUACGACAGACAUGCUUUCAUGGACCUUAUCCUCCAGUGGGAAGAUGGACAAUAAGGAAAGAGAUUCAUGAGUAGAAUGAUCUUAAAAACACCGAGGUGUGAAACAGAGGCCCUGUUCAAAAGUUGCUUAGGGCCUGGCUACUUGGAGUGUUGUUCUCGACUGGCAGCAUCAGCAUCCCUGGGAGCCUGUUGGAAACGCAGAAUCUCAGGCCACACCCCACACCUGUGGAAUUAAUCUGCUUUUUAAACAAGAUCCCUGUGGUUCAUGAUUUGGAGGCAUCAUAAUGUUUAAGAAGCACUGGCUUAUGCAACAUAGGCUGUGUUCCAGGUGAGACAAGAAGGCCCUGAAACCUGUGGCUGGAUUCAUCCAGGCUCGGGAAGGCCUAGGAGGAAGAGCUGCUUGAAGGUUUAGGAAAAGACGGUAUGGAGCAGGCCAGCCCUGGAAGUCUUGGAAAGAGCACUGUGUGACCUCUCUUUGCUUGAGUUGACUUUACUGAAUCCUACCAGAAGAACCUGGCAAAUAAAUUUUACUUUGUGUGACAACUACCUCUGGCGAAGGCUUUGAUUUCAACUCACCAAGAAGGGAACCCACUUUAGUUUGGUAACAAAACCAGUUGGAGUCAGUUUGGGUAUAAAAAGAUACGCCAAUCAAGUCUUCUAUAGACGGCCCCUGUUAGCAAAUCAUAUGUACUCCUACAAAGCCAUCCAAGUUGUCCUCACGUCCUAGCAGCAAAACUAAAGACCGAAACAAAGACAAAAGAACUGACCACCCUGAAAAUGCUUAACAACAUGGAUUUCAAGAAACAUGUAAGCUGCGAACUGAGAGUGUCAAAUGAUGAAGAAGCACAAUGGAAGUUCUUGGGAAGAUGAUGGGCUGUCUCCCUAGUCCCUCUAAUUCGUGACUUACUGGGGCAGAGACGGGGGAGGACAGCCUGGGUGCUGCCUGCCACCUUUCUUUACAGGCGGGAGCUGGUGGGAGCACGGCAGCCACAGAGGAGCACAGCGGAGCCGGGAGUGUUCCAGCAAAGCCUCUCAGGGCGAGUCGGUCCGCGUCCUCCAGGCUGCAAUUCGGAGGCCGUAACGGGAAGUCUGUGCUUCUUCCCGCUCCCAAGCCCCGCCUUCCUCUCAAAGACAGAGAAUUAGUUAAAAAAGCAAAUGAAGGAAAUUCCCUAAAGAACCCUACCGGGGAACAACAAAAACAUCCAUUGUAAACAGCAGGAGUUGAGAGGGCUGGAUGAUUUUAAAAACUUGUGUUUGGACCUCGUGGAGUUCUUUUAGUGGGCAGUGGCCCUGAGAGAGACACAGGUGUCAGGAAUGGGAGUGAUUACUGCUGGUGCCUCCAGGAUGGAGCAGUCUCUUCUUGAAGAUUUGCCUUCCCUCCUCCCUCAGCUUUAUUGAGAUAUAAUUGACAAAUAAAAAUUGUAUAUAUUUAAGGUAUAUUAGCAUCCUUGGAUAUACUUAUACACUGUGAGAUGAUCACUACAAUCAAGCUAAUUAACAUGUCUGUCACCACACACAGUUACUUUGUUGUUGUGGUGAGAACAAUAAGAUAUACUAUCUUAGUAAAUUUCAAGUA